rnacentral:rRNA from 1 species
UGGGGAAUAUUGCACAAUGGGCGCAAGCCUGAUGCAGCCAUGCCGCGUGUGUGAAGAAGGCCUUCGGGUUGUAAAGCACUUUCAGCGAGGAGGAAGGUGGUGAGCUUAAUACGCUCAUCAAUUGACGUUACUCGCAGAAGAAGCACCGGCUAACUCCGUGCCAGCAGCCGCGGUAAUACGGAGGGUGCAAGCGUUAAUCGGAAUUACUGGGCGUAAAGCGCACGCAGGCGGUUUGUUAAGUCAGAUGUGAAAUCCCCGGGCUCAACCUGGGAACUGCAUUUGAAACUGGCAAGCUAGAGUCUCGUAGAGGGGGGUAGAAUUCCAGGUGUAGCGGUGAAAUGCGUAGAGAUCUGGAGGAAUACCGGUGGCGAAGGCGGCCCCCUGGACGAAGACUGACGCUCAGGUGCGAAAAGCGUGGGGCAGCAAACAGGAUUAGAUACCCUGGUAGUCCACGCUGUAAACGAUGUCGAUUUUGGAGGUUGUGCCCUUGAGGCGUGGCUUCCGGAGCUAACGCGUUAAAUCGACCGCCUGGGGAGUACGGCCGCAAGGUUAAAACUUAAAGGAAUUG